AGAGUUUGAUCCUGGCUCAGGAUGAACGCUGGCGGCGUGCCUAAUACAUGCAAGUCGAGCGAACGGACGAGAAGCUUGCUUCUCUGAUGUUAGCGGCGGACGGGUGAGUAACACGUGGAUAACCUACCUAUAAGACUGGGAUAACUUCGGGAAACCGGAGCUAAUACCGGAUGAUAUUUUGAACCGCAUGGUUCAAAAGUGAAAGACGGUCUUGCUGUCACUUAUAGAUGGAUCCGCGCUGCAUUAGCUAGUUGGUAAGGUAACGGCUUACCAAGGCAACGAUGCAUAGCCGACCUGAGAGGGUGAUCGGCCACACUGGAACUGAGACACGGUCCAGACUCCUACGGGAGGCAGCAGUAGGGAAUCUUCCGCAAUGGGCGAAAGCCUGACGGAGCAACGCCGCGUGAGUGAUGAAGGUCUUCGGAUCGUAAAACUCUGUUAUUAGGGAAGAACAUAUGUGUAAGUAACUGUGCACAUCUUGACGGUACCUAAUCAGAAAGCCACGGCUAACUACGUGCCAGCAGCCGCGGUAAUACGUAGGUGGCAAGCGUUAUCCGGAAUUAUUGGGCGUAAAGCGCGCGUAGGCGGUUUUUUAAGUCUGAUGUGAAAGCCCACGGCUCAACCGUGGAGGGUCAUUGGAAACUGGAAAACUUGAGUGCAGAAGAGGAAAGUGGAAUUCCAUGUGUAGCGGUGAAAUGCGCAGAGAUAUGGAGGAACACCAGUGGCGAAGGCGACUUUCUGGUCUGUAACUGACGCUGAUGUGCGAAAGCGUGGGGAUCAAACAGGAUUAGAUACCCUGGUAGUCCACGCCGUAAACGAUGAGUGCUAAGUGUUAGGGGGUUUCCGCCCCUUAGUGCUGCAGCUAACGCAUUAAGCACUCCGCCUGGGGAGUACGACCGCAAGGUUGAAACUCAAAGGAAUUGACGGGGACCCGCACAAGCGGUGGAGCAUGUGGUUUAAUUCGAAGCAACGCGAAGAACCUUACCAAAUCUUGACAUCCUUUGACAACUCUAGAGAUAGAGCCUUCCCCUUCGGGGGACAAAGUGACAGGUGGUGCAUGGUUGUCGUCAGCUCGUGUCGUGAGAUGUUGGGUUAAGUCCCGCAACGAGCGCAACCCUUAAGCUUAGUUGCCAUCAUUAAGUUGGGCACUCUAAGUUGACUGCCGGUGACAAACCGGAGGAAGGUGGGGAUGACGUCAAAUCAUCAUGCCCCUUAUGAUUUGGGCUACACACGUGCUACAAUGGACAAUACAAAGGGCAGCGAAACCGCGAGGUCAAGCAAAUCCCAUAAAGUUGUUCUCAGUUCUGAUUGUAGUCUGCAACUCGACUACAUGAAGCUGGAAUCGCUAGUAAUCGUAGAUCAGCAUGCUACGGUGAAUACGUUCCCGGGUCUUGUACACAC
rnacentral:rRNA from 1 species